GAUGAACGCUGGCGGCGUGCCUAAUACAUGCAAGUCGAGCGAACAGAUGAGGAGCUUGCUCCUCUGACGUUAGCGGCGGACGGGUGAGUAACACGUGGAUAACCUACCUAUAAGACUGGGAUAACUUCGGGAAACCGGAGCUAAUACCGGAUAAUAUAUUGAACCGCAUGGUUCAAUAGUGAAAGACGGUUUUGCUGUCACUUAUAGAUGGAUCCGCGCCGCAUUAGCUAGUUGGUAAGGUAACGGCUUACCAAGGCAACGAUGCGUAGCCGACCUGAGAGGGUGAUCGGCCACACGGGAACGGACACACGGUCCAGACCCCUACGGGGGGCAGAAGUAGGGAAUGUUCCGCAAGGGGCGAAACCCUGCAGGACAAACGCCGGGGGGGGAAAGAAGGCUUUCGGUUGGUAAAACCUUUUUUUUAGGGAAAAAAAAAUGUGUAAGUAACUAUGCCCGUUUUGACGGUCCCAAACCAAAAAGCCCCGGCAAAUUACGG
rnacentral:rRNA from 1 species